UACGAAGGGGGCUAGCGUUGUUCGGAAUUACUGGGCGUAAAGGGCGCGUAGGCGGUGUGUCAAGUCAGGCGUGAAAGCCCCGGGCUCAACCUGGGAACCGCGCUUGAGACUGGCGGGCUAGAGUUCGGGAGAGGAUGGUGGAAUUCCCAGUGUAGAGGUGAAAUUCGUAGAUAUUGGGAAGAACACCGAUGGCGAAGGCAGCCAUCUGGACCGACACUGACGCUGAGGCGCGAAAGCGUGGGGAGCAAACAGG
rnacentral:rRNA from 1 species